UGCGUAGAUUAUGGUAUUAGCACCAAUGUUUAUUAAGUGCACAUUUUUUGAACGCACUUUCUUUGUUGCCUUGCUGCUUGUAGGCUUAUGGAGUGGUUUUGUUAUGCUGGUGUAACGUUUGUUGAGAUUCUUCUGUGUUCCCCUGUUUAGGGUGAGUAUCUAAGGCAUGACUGCAUUUCGCAGUUGUUUCGAUGCCAUAGUAUACUAGACCUUUUGUUAGUUUGUCUUUACUAUUUGUUUCUACAGGGAGUUAGUAUGUGAUUAUCAAGAUUUACAUUGGAGUUUGUUAUCGGCAGUGUGACAGUGUUGAACGUGUGGCGUUGUGGGAUAGCAAGAAACUGACUCAUCCUCAGUAUAGUCCUGGAAAUGAGUCUGACUAAUCAGACUUCUAAGCCUACUUGUCUGGUCCACUCAAUGAGGCAUGAAGGGGCCGUUGAUUUACCUCGGGUGAAGCACUGAAAGAUGAAUACAUUUCUGGCUCGAGGCUCAACCAAAAACUUUCUUUUAGGACUGCUUCAUGAAGCUUGUGCAGCGAUGGACCAAAUGCAUUGAAAAGCAAGGGGAGUAUAUUGAACAUUAAUGCACAUAGAUACUUGAAUGCUGCCAGCCUCAUUCGUGGUAGCCCAAACUAAAAGUCGCGUGUAGCCUACAUUUUGUGGCCUCAAUUCAAGCCAACAAAGGUCACGUUCACAUAUUUUUUCCUUUAUUUAAUGAUAUUUCGUUGUCUAGGAAACCGUUUUGAGCAGUCUCCCACUACGGGAUGACGUCAAGCAUAACAGUUUGUACUUGAUGGAAGUUGGCAGCAUUGACAGGGGGACACAAUUUUCAAGAUAAUUAGUCAUUACUUUAUCUUAUAAAUUACAGACGUUACUUCAAUUGACAAGAUAAUGACGUCCUACAUAUUUCACGUGCACUAAACGCAGGACAUAGACCGCUAGAUAUAUUUUAUAUAUCUAGAGUGAUAACGUUUUUAAAAAUUGAAAAACAAAAUGGACGCAAUCUGAUCCUGUAAAGUCGCUCUUAACUCUGAGAAAAAUAAUGAUCUUAAAUUUUUAAAGUUUUCAAAUUCUACAAAGCACAUUUGAGAUUUUCAUCUACGGCAUAAAAUCUAUAGACGUGAAGUAUAGAUAAGCUAUGCUUCUACAACAUUUUAUAUAUAAUUGUGGGCACGUUUAGAAAUUCAGUAACAAAUAUUCUAAACUCUUCCAUUUGCUGCCUAAGUUUUUCUUAUGUAGUUGAUAACAUUACAGUUCAAUAUAGAUUCUUUGACAUUGUUUCGUUUUGUCAUGAAAAUCUCCCAAAUUUGGGAAUUAAUUU